AUGUCGUGGUGGUGGUAUUGUGGUCGUGGAGGUGGUAUCGUGGUCGUGGAGGUGGUGGCGUGGUCGUGGUGGUGGUAUCGUGGUCGUGGUGGUGGUAUUGUGGUCGUGGAGGUGGUAUCGUGGUCGUGGUGGUGGGGUCGUGGUCGUGGUGGUGGGGUCGUGGUGGUGGUGGUGGUGUCAUGGUCGUGGAGGUGGUAUCGUGGUCGUGGAGGUGGUAUCGUGGUCGUGGAGGUGGUGGCGUGGUCGUGGUGGUGGUAUCGUGGUCGUGGUGGUGGUAUUGUGGUCGUGGUGGUGGUGUCAUGGUCAUGGAGGUGGUAUCAUGGUCAUGGUGGUGGUAUUGUUCUCAUGGUGACGGCAUCGUGGUCAUGGUGGUGGUAUUGUGGUCAUGGAGGUGGUAUCGUGGUUGUGGUGGUGGUAUCGUGGUCAUGGAGAUGCUACUGUGGUCAUGGUGGUGGCACUGUGGUUGUGGAGAUGCUACUGCGGACAUGGUGGUGGUAUCGGAGUCAUGGAGAUGCUGCCAUGGUCGUGGUGGUGGCACCAUGGUCACGGUGGUGGCACCGUGGUCAUGGUGGUGGUAUUGUGGUCACGGAGAUGCUACCACGGUCACGGUGGUGGUAUUGUGCUCUUGGUGGUGGUAUCACGGUCAUGGAGAUGCUAUCAUGGUCAUGGUGGUACCGAAGUCAUGAAGAUGCUACCAAAAUCACAGUGGUGGCACUGUGGUUGUGGAGAUGCUGCCGUGGUCAUGGAGGUGGCACCGUGGUCAUGGAGACGCUACGAUGGUCAUGGAGAUGCUACCACGGUCAUGGAGAUGCUACCGUGGUCACAGUGGUGGCACAGUGGUUGUGGAGAUGCUACCAAGGUCAUGGUGGUUGCACCAUGGUCGUGGAGGUGCUACCCCGGUCAUGGUGGUGGCACCGUGGUCAUGGCAACGCCGCUGCAGUGAUGGCACUGCCACCACGAUCCCGGCAAUUCUCCCAUGGCCGUAGUGACGCCACCACGAUCCUGGUGAUGCCACCAGGGCCACGGCAACGCCACCACGAUCCUGGCAACACCACCACGGCCAUUCUGAUGCCACCACAGCCCCGUCAUCGUGCCCAACCCAUUGGACCCCCUAUCCAUGGCUUCUCCCAACCCUGGUGGCCCCCAACCUUGGCGUCCCCGUGGUCCCCAACACCCACGUGUCCCCCUCCCCGCACCCAGGCAUCGCGCUGGAGCGGGUGUUCGAGUACAGCGAGUACUGGGAGGCGGCACGGGCGCUCUACGCCGCCUUCGANNNNNNNNNNNNNNNNNNNNGUGGUGGUGAUGUCGUGGUGGUGGUGGUGA
rnacentral:lncRNA from 1 species